CAGUAGCCGCGGGAAUACGAAGGGGGCUAGCGUUGCUCGGAUUUACUGGGCGUAAAGGGUGCGUAGGCGGAUCGUUUAGUUGGGGGUGAAAGCCCGGGGCUCAACCUCGGAAUUGCCUUCAAUACUGGCGGUCUUGAGUAUGGAAGAGGUAAGUGGAACUCCGAGUGUAGAGGUGAAAUUCGUAGAUAUUCGGAAGAACACCGGUGGCGAAGGCGACUUACUGGUCCAUUACUGACGCUGAGGCACGAAAGCGUGGGGAGCAAACAGGAUUAGAUACCCCGGUAGUCCCUGUCUCUUAUAA
rnacentral:rRNA from 1 species